AAUGGAAGAUGAUCGAGCGGUAACGUUAGGAAAGUCCAUACUAACACAGACUUUUAUAGUUUGUAGUGUUUGUGUCUAAGGAAAAAAUAACUUAGAGUAUCGAAAGAUAACGGCGAAUUCAGUGUCUAAGGGAAACUAUGAUACUAAUUUGUAAAGUGCCACAGUGACGAAUCAUUUAGAAAUAAAUGGGUGAAACGAGGUAAACCCCACAAGUUAGAAACCCAAAUUUUGGUAGGGGAACAUUGAUUUUUGAGAAAAAAUUGAUGCUACAAUUUUGUAGAGAUAAAUGAUCAUACCUAUUUAUAGGAACAGAAUAUGGCUUAUGCAC
rnacentral:RNase_P_RNA from 1 species